rnacentral:SRP_RNA from 1 species
GCCAGGCAUGGUGGUGCGUGCUUGUAGUCCCAGCUACUUGGGAGGCCGAGGUGGGAGGAUUGCUUGAGCCCAGGAGUUUGAGGCUGCAGUGAGCUAUGAUCAUGCCACUGUAUUCCAGCCUGGAUGACAGAGCAAGACCCUGUCUCUA